rnacentral:rRNA from 1 species
UACGUAGGGGGCAAGCGUUGUCCGGAAUCAUUGGGCGUAAAGCGCGUGUAGGCGGUUCGGUAAGUCUGCUGUGAAAGUCCAGGGCUCAACCCUGGGAUGCCGGUGGAUACUGUCGAACUAGAGUACGGAAGAGGCGAGUGGAAUUCCCGGUAUAGCGGUGAAAUGCGCAGAUAUCGGGAGGAACACCAAUUGCGAAGGCAGCUCGCUGGGACGUCACUGACGCUGAGACGCGAAAGCGUGGGGAGCAAACAGG